CUAUUUAAAAAAAUUUUUUUUUGUAGAGACAAGGUCUCACUAUGUUCCUCAGGCUGGUCUCGAACUCCUAGGCUCAAGUGAUCCUCCUACCUCAGCCCCCCUUGCGUUUUCCUCAGGUCCAGUAGAAUGAGGUAGGGUAAAGGACAGGGAAGGCAGGUGGCAGGUUAAGGAGUGGGGAACCAGUAUCUCCAUCUCUUUCCCUCCUUACCCGGCUCUGAAAGCCCCCAUGACACCCACCAGUAUAUUAACUCACAUCUUUGCUCAUUUAGCCUGUGACCACACCCUGUUGUUCCAUGGGGGCUCCUGGGAAGUGAGGGGAGCUGUGUGGUUCUCUCCCUCCCUGCCUCCGCCAUUGGGUAGACGCUAAAGCUGGGCAGGCAUCCUUCCCUGCCAUGCAGGUAAGCCUGGACUGCCAAGUUGUCCAACUGGGUGCCUCAUCAUAGGGGGGAGGUGCCAAUGUGUUUUUCACAACCAGAAUUUACCAGGGGUUGAGAGCUCCCAGCUGGAGAAGCCCGGCAGGAACAAGGGCCAUCUGCAGUGCUUGCUCAAGGUCAGUUGCUCAGCCAGGCCUCCCCCGAGAAGCAGCUCACAACCCUCUUCCACUUGCCGACACUGCCGCUGCUGCAGGAAGGCCUUCCAGGCACAUACCUGUGCACACAGGAGCAGCCACCAUUGCGUAAGCUGAGGCUUUAAUCUCACCCACCGACCCAUAACCUGGGGCCCCUCUCUAUGCGCCACCCCUCCCGUCUUCAGGAUCGCCACUCCAGCACCAGCAUUCUACCUUCAGACAGACUGUCUUCCCGGAGCACCUCCAUUCCCUUCCACAGCCACCUGCGUCACUGGGAAGUCUGGAGGAGCCAGAAGGCACCUCUCUCAACCAGCCCUCUCCCCUGCCUCCAGCCCCUGCCAGGGCUGAUCUCACCAGCCUUAUCCCUAAGACCCCAAAGGAAGGGGACUUAAGGCCUCACCAGAGAGAACUGGUGGUUACUGAUAACAAACCCCAUGCUAACUGCUCUGUCUUUCCUAAAGAACAGACAUAGACUCGAUCAUCUCUUUGAGCCUUAGUGUCCUCAUUUAUAAAGUAAGGACUGGACCAAUCUAAGCUGUCCUCUCGUUAGUCAACAGGCAGCCAACAGACACGGGGCUGGGGCGCAAGGCCCACGACUCCACGAAUAAUUUCUAUUUGUGUAGUUCUAUAAUUUUUCAAAGUCCUUUCCUUUUCCUGACAACAGCACAAAGGAAACAGGCUUUAACUACCCUAGUCACUUUGCAGCUCCCAUGAGAACAGGGCAGCAGCUCCGAUCGCAGAGUUCCACGUUCCUGUCCUGCCGUGUGAGCCCAUUCUUGCAGCCUUCUAUAUUUGGCAGAAGUGGGCGAAGUAAUGUUACUUUUCUGAUGCCCAGCCACCGGCCCCGAUUCCCUGGCCCGGAUGAAGGACAGGCUCUGAGCACCACACUCAACUCCCUGCUUCAGCUCCCACCUCCUCUCUCCUGCCACCAGGGGGAGGCCAGCAAAACCACUGGCGACUCACUUCAAAUGGCAGGUUUAGGAUUUAUUUCAGAAUUAAACUGCUGCAGCUCUUCCUA